rnacentral:rRNA from 1 species
CCUACGGGAGGCAGCAGUGGGGAAUUUUGGACAAUGGGCGAAAGCCUGAUCCAGCAAUGCCGCGUGAGUGAAGAAGGCCUUCGGGUUGUAAAGCUCUUUUGUCAGGGAAGAAACGGUGAGGGCUAAUAUCCCUUGCUAAUGACGGUACCUGAAGAAUAAGCACCGGCUAACUACGUGCCAGCAGCCGCGGUAAUACGUAGGGUGCAAGCGUUAAUCGGAAUUACUGGGCGUAAAGCGUGCGCAGGCGGUUUUGUAAGUCUGUCGUGAAAUCCCCGGGCUCAACCUGGGAAUUGCGAUGGAGACUGCAAGGCUAGAAUCUGGCAGAGGGGGGUAGAAUUCCACGUGUAGCAGUGAAAUGCGUAGAGAUGUGGAGGAACACCGAUGGCGAAGGCAGCCCCCUGGGUCAAGAUUGACGCUCAUGCACGAAAGCGUGGGGAGCAAACAGGAUUAGAUACCCUGGUAGUCCACGCCCUAAACGAUGUCUACUAGUUGUCGGGUUUUAAUUAACUUGGUAACGCAGCUAACGCGUGAAGUAGACCGCCUGGGGGAGGUACGGUCGCGAAGUAGUAAACUUACGAAGUAAGUUAGAGNGNGNGNGNGCGAGACGACGACGAGGGAGAGG